GAUGAAGAACGUAGCGAAAUGCGAUAAGUAAUGUGAAUUGCAGAAUUCAGUGAAUCAUCGAAUCUUUGAACGCACAUUGCGCCCCUUGGUAUUCCGAGGGGCAUGCCUGUUCGAGCGUCAUAUUAACCACUCCCGCUUGCGGGGUCUUGGGCUUCGCCUCCGGGCGGGCCUUAAAAUCAGUGGCGGUGCCGUCGGGCUCUACGCGUAGUAAAUUUUCUCGCGAUAGGGUCCCGGUGGAUGCUUGCCAACAACCCCCAACUUCUUAAGGUUGACCUCGGAUCAGGUAGCGAUACCCGCUGAACUUAAGCAUAUCAAUAAGCGGAGGA
rnacentral:misc_RNA from 1 species